ACUACCUCUGCCUAUUUCAAGAUCAGAAGUCCAGCAGGUUUAUGUCUUCAACCCCACAUAUCCUUGUGUUUUUCUGUUCAGUUUUUGAUCCACAUAGAUGUCAUAAACAUCUCUAUCAUUGCAAGUUUAUAUUAAAAA
rnacentral:sRNA from 1 species